AAGAAAAAGAAAAAAAAACAUUAGAAAAACAAUAAGGUCUUUCCCAUGUAGGGGAAAGACCUUAACAAUAAGGUCUUUCCUCGCGGAGAGGAAAGACCUUAAAAAAAACACUAGUAUCUCAAUUGUUUGUAAAACAAUUGAAAGGUCUUUCCUGUAAAAGUGAUGUUUUCGUAAUGUACCUUGUACGACCUUUCGUUUGAUAUACGACAAGCAUACCUUCUGAAACUUUCCACUUUUAACACUUAAUGACCUCAUCCGCCUACAUUUUUGAGAUCGGAAUUAUGAUAUAAAUAACAUAGAGUAGAUGAGCUUUCAUUUGAUAUGCAACAACUCUAUGUUCUAGAAAGUUUGAUUUUUGCACUUAAUAACCCUAUCCAACUAAUUUUUGGAGGUCGGGAUUUGAUAUUUCCAAUGUACACAUCAUGACCUUUCAUUUAAUAUACAACAACCCUAUCUUAAAAGAAAAUUUAUUUUUUGCACUCAAUGACCCCAUCCAACCCAUUUUUGGGAGACGUCAAUUUUAAAUUUGAAAUGUACGCUUUAUGUUCUUUCAUUUGAUAUGCGACAACCUUACCAUCUGAGAAAUUUGAAUGUUUGCACUAAAUGACCCCACCCGUCCUCCUGGGAUGAAAAGGGGGUUUAAAAUUUUCAUUUUUAAGUAGAGUACAUUUAGACCUUCAAUUUGAUAUAUCAGAUGACCCCAUUUGAUAAAGUGCAAAAAAUGAUGCAAUAUCAACUAUAUAAAUAGAAGUUAUGAAACUUACAAAGUCAAUGCAAAACUUGAAAAUUUCAAAUUGAAUUUUUGGCGUUUUUUUCCAUGGAAUGUUUUUGGUAUUUGGUCAAACAUAUAACUAUGUUAACCUCUUCAAUUUCUUAAACAUUUUAAGAGGUACGCUCUUGUUGAUUCAGAAAUACAUGCCUCCGCUCGCAAAACUUCAAACUGCAUUAUCUCUACAGCAACAAUAGAUAUCUCAAAUCUGUUAAAUGAUAAAUGAUCUACAGUUGAAGGACAACAUUAUAGAAAAAGAAUUGGGACAAUUUCAAAGUUCACCAAGGUCACAAUUAAUCAUCAAAUAUAUGAUGCAAUACCAAACUUAAGAACCGGAAGUCGUAGAGACACGGGACUAGCACCAUUCAACUCAGGAUCACUUGACCAUUCAAAUAUCACAAGGUCAAGGUCAUAGUAUACUGUGAAGGUCAAGGUGAAAUUUCAUCAUGACCUGACAUUGACCUCAAAUUGAAGGUCUUGAAUUACUGAUCAUCUUUGCAGUUUAUAGUAGGUUGAUAUCUGUUACCUUUAAAAAGAUAUACACAAAAUACUAUACUUUUAAGAAUCAUCCCGUUGUAACUUUUGAAUAGACGGUCGGACCUUUAUGGGCUUAUAAUAUAAAAU
rnacentral:lncRNA from 1 species